CAGCCGCCGCGGGAAUACGGAGGAUCCAAGCGUUAUCCGGAUUUAUUGGGUUUAAAGGGUGCGUAGGUGGCCUGUUAAGUCAGGGGUGAAAGACGGUAGCUCAACUAUCGCAGUGCCUUUGAUACUGACGGGCUUGAAUGAACUAGAGGUAGGCGGAAUGUGACAAGUAGCGGUGAAAUGCAUAGAUAUGUCACAGAACACCAAUUGCGAAGGCAGCUUACUAUGGUUUUAUUGACACUGAGGCACGAAAGCGUGGGGAUCAAACAGGAUUAGAUACCCGUGUAGUCCCUGUCUCUUAUAC
rnacentral:rRNA from 1 species